rnacentral:tRNA from 1 species
GCGCCCGUAGCUCAGUUGGAUAGAGCAUCAGCCUUCUAAGCUGAGGGUCGCUGGUUCGAGUCCAGCCGGGCGCACCA